GACGAACGCUGGCGGCGUGCUUAACACAUGCAAGUCGAACGGAAAGGCCCUGCUGUUGUGGGGUGCUCGAGUGGCGAACGGGUGAGUAACACGUGAGUAACCUGCCCUUGACUUUGGGGUAACUUCAAGAAACUGGGGCUAAUACCUGCUAGGAGCUCCUGCUUCAUGGUGGGGGUGGGAAAGUUUCGGCGGUUGGGGAUGGACUCGCGGCUUAUCAGCUUGUUGGUGGGGUAGUGGCUUACCAAGGCUUGGACGGGUAGCCGGCCUGAGAGGGUGACCGGCCACAUUGGGACUGAGAUAGGGCCCAGACUGAUACGGGAGGCAGCAGUGGAGAAUAUUGCAAAAUGGGCGGAAGCCUGAUGCAGCAACGCCGCGUGCGGGAUGACGGCUUUCGGGUUGUAAACCGCUUUCGGCUGUGACGAAGCGUGAGUGACGGUAAUGGGUAAAGAAGCCCCGGCUAACUACGUG
rnacentral:rRNA from 1 species